rnacentral:rRNA from 1 species
GCUCAGGAUGAACGCCGGCGGCGUGCCUAAUACAUGCAAGUCGAGCGAAUGGAUUAAGAGCUUGCUCUUAUGAAGUUAGCGGCGGACGGGUGAGUAACACGUGGGUAACCUGCCCAUAAGACUGGGAUAACUCCGGGAAACCGGGGCUAAUACCGGAUAACAUUUUGAACCGCAUGGUUCGAAAUUGAAAGGCGGCUUCGGCUGUCACUUAUGGAUGGACCCGCGUCGCAUUAGCUAGUUGGUGAGGUAACGGCUCACCAAGGCAACGAUGCGUAGCCGACCUGAGAGGGUGAUCGGCCACACUGGGACUGAGACACGGCCCAGACUCCUACGGGAGGCAGCAGUAGGGAAUCUUCCGCAAUGGACGAAAGUCUGACGGAGCAACGCCGCGUGAGUGAUGAAGGCUUUCGGGUCGUAAAACUCUGUUGUUAGGGAAGAACAAGUGCUAGUUGAAUAAGCUGGCACCUUGACGGUACCUAACCAGAAAGCCACGGCUAACUACGUGCCAGCAGCCGCGGUAAUACGUAGGUGGCAAGCGUUAUCCGGAAUUAUUGGGCGUAAAGCGCGCGCAGGUGGUUUCUUAAGUCUGAUGUG